AACGAACGCUGGCGGCAUGCCUAACACAUGCAAGUCGAACGAGACCUUCGGGUCUAGUGGCGCACGGGUGCGUAACGCGUGGGAACCUGCCCUUAGGUUCGGAAUAACUCCCCGAAAGGGGUGCUAAUACCGGAUAAUGUCUUCGGACCAAAGAUUUAUCGCCUUUGGAUGGGCCCGCGUUGGAUUAGCUAGUUGGUAGGGUAAAAGCCUACCAAGGCGACGAUCCAUAGCUGGUCUGAGAGGAUGAUCAGCCACACUGGGACUGAGACACGGCCCAGACUCCUUCGGGAGGCAGGAAGGGGGAAUAUUGGACAAUGGGCGAAAGCCUGAUCCAGCAAUGCCGCGUGAGUGAUGAAGGCCUUAGGGUUGUAAAGCUCUUUUACCCGGGAUGAUAAUGACAGUACCGGGAGAAUAAGCUCCGGCUAACUCCGUG
rnacentral:rRNA from 1 species